UUUAAGAAAGAUAAAAAAAUAAUGCGCGUUGAAAACAUUUCUUAAUACCUUAAUGAAUUAAUUAAUUUUUUAAUUAUUCCCAGUACGCAGCAUUUUUCUAAGAAAAAAACAAUAAAUAUGAGAAAUCCAGGUACCCAGCUAUGAUUUUUCAAAUCACAAUAAUCUUAUUUAUUCAUAUACUAAUUCAUAUAAUAUAUAUUCUAUUUAUUGUAAGUAUUGUAACAUACAAAAUAUCCAGAAAUUUGCGAAUCAAAAUAUUAAAGCAAGAACAUUCUCGAAAAAUAAAAUAAAUAUUUAUAAGUUUUUUUGUAAGCAGCAGAUUUUGAGAUAUAUAAGCUUAAAGCUAUAGAUAUAAUAGAGAUUAUUACACAUUUAGACAGUUGUACUUAUCAUGUAAUAACUAAUGCUAACGCGUGACUCACAAACUGUUUGUGACUGAUAAAUAAAGUUUGUGAUUAGCUACAACUUUAAAUCCUCAUAUUUCGAAAACUGUUUGAUACAAAAAUUGACAAGUAACUAUUUUGCUUACUUUUUCGACUAUAUUUCCUGCAAUAUUUUGAUUCGCAAUUUCAGGACACUCGGUAUGUGUGUGAGUUGUUUUUCUAUCUCUUUCGUAUACUUUUCCAUCACUCUAUCUCUUUUGUUACAAGUUCACGGACGCGAGCGGAUCACGAGGACGCAUUCAAUUUGUUUGUGAGCUCGCGACAUUUGCGAAUUGGCGCGUUCGACAAUACCAGCAAAUUAUGCAGCUGCAUGUCCCGCGUGUGUGUAUGCGCGCGCGUGUGCGUGUUAUUAUAUGCAGCUCGCGCCGCAUGCCAUUUGCGCUCGCGUCGCGAACAUGUGCGUGCCGCGUUAAUUACGUCGGAUCGUUAAGUCACGAAGACAGAAGCGAGAGAGGAGUAACGCGAAAAGAAUGUCGACUUAUCAGUCAGAGGUCCUCGACCUCAAUGAGGCUCAAUGAGGCUCGUGACAUCGUCAAACGCUGGAGGAUCUCAUCGACUUCUGGCCAAUCGAUGACGAAACAAUAUCACCCGAAUUCGUGAAGGUCUUAAAAGCGGCCCGUCUAUGCUACAAAGCGAGAUAAGCGAGUCCAUUUAUAUACGGCAGAGGCACCUUCUAUUCGUAAACAGUCAGUACCGUCGAUAGAAAGCCGCAACAGAAUCGAAUAUUCCCGUGUACACGUGUACAUCUGCAUAUUUAUCGGGGGCGCAGUAAUGCACCAGUUGAUAACGACAGAUGCGCCCUUGCUGUCGAGGCAAGGCCGACGUUGAAUGAAAUUCCUUCGUGCAAUUCGAAUUAUGUGGGAAAUUCUCGUCAAGUAAACUAUACGUUUACGUUCAUAAAUUUAAAUUAAAAAUGGAACACUGCGUCCCCGCAAACGCGUAUGCGUGUAAUUAAAAUUUCACGGAUUUGUUUAUUUACCACGAAAUAUUUAUCUGUAUUCGAAGCGUUAUUAUAUAUUCAUUGUAAUAUAAAUUGUAAUACAACAUUAAUAAGACAUCAUUAUACAUUUUUGUUA